UACGAAGGGGGCUAGCGUUGCUCGGAAUUACUGGGCGUAAAGGGCGCGUAGGCGGAUAUUUACGUUGGGGGUGAAAUCCCGGGGCUCAACCUCGGAAUUGCCUUCAAAACUGGAUAUCUUGAGUUCGGGAGAGGUGAGUGGAACUCCGAGUGUAGAGGUGAAAUUCGUAGAUAUUCGGAAGAACACGAGUGGCGAAGGCGACUCACUGGCCCGAUACUGACGCUGAGGCGCGAAAGCGUGGGGAGCAAACAGG
rnacentral:rRNA from 1 species